GUGAUGUCAUUAUGGGGUAUUGUGAUGUCAUUAUGAGGUAUUGUGAUGUCAUUAUGGGGUAUUGUGAUGUCAUUAUGAGGUAUUGUGAUGUCAUUAUGGGGUAUUGUGAUGUCAUUAUGAGGUAUUGUGAUGUCAUUAUGGGGUAUUGUGAUGUCAUUAUGAGGUAUUGUGAUGUCAUUAUGGGGUAUUGUGAUGUCAUUAUGAGGUAUUGUGAUGUCAUUAUGGGGUAUUGUGAUGUCAUUAUGAGGUAUUGUGAUGUCAUUAUGGGGUAUUGUGAUGUCAUUAUGAGGUAUUGUGAUGUCAUUAUGGGGUAUUGUGAUGUCAUUAUGAGGUAUUGUGAUGUCAUUAUGGGGUAUUGUGAUGUCAUUAUGAGGUAUUGUGAUGUCAUUAUGGGGUAUUGUGAUGUCAUUAUGAGGUAUUGUGAUGUCAUUAUGAGGUAUUGUGAUGUCAUUAUGAGGUAUUGUGAUGUCAUUAUGGGGUAUUGUGAUGUCAUUAUGGGGUAUUGUGAUGUCAUUAUGGGGUAUUGUGAUGUCAUUAUG